GACAGAGGUGCCGAGCGUUAGGCGGAAUCACUGGGCUUAAAGCGUGUGUAGGCGGAGUUCUAAGUACCUUGUGAAAUCCCACGGCUUAACCGUGGAACUGCUUGGUAUACUGGUUCUCUUGGGCCAUCUAGGGGCUAGCGGAACAAACGGUGGAGCGGUGAAAUGCGUAGAUAUCGUUUGGAACGCCAAUGGUGAAAACAGCUAGCUGGGGAUGUGCCGACGCUGAGACACGAAAGCCAGGGAGCGAACGGG
rnacentral:rRNA from 1 species